rnacentral:lncRNA from 1 species
AAAGUGUACAACCCUGGUAUUUCAGGAGAUGCAAGGAUAAAGAUGCCACUGAGUCCAACUAUUGCCCGGUCCCAGCACAGACCAUUUAGCAUGGGACAUGGGUUGGGAGGCAGCAGCAUCCAGCUUAUGGAGUCUUCUUUAUACCCAUCAAGUGGAAAUGUCUCCCAUAGUUAUUCAUCAGGUAGCUUGGGACAGAUGAGGCUUCAAAGCAGGAGGUCACAAUCCAGAGAAGACCUUAAUUCUUCUAUGGCAGACUUGGCAAAGGUGUAGCGGGUAUCAUGGAGAAACUCAGGUACAAGAAUAUUUUUUCAUGUAGCCUUUUUAGCAGAGGUUUUUCCAUGCAGGCAAACUAAAUCCUCAUUCUUUUUUCUUUGGGUGUGUGUGUGUGUGUGUGCAUGUACCAUAGCUGCCCCUACAAUGGUGUGAUGUUUUGAUACACGUGUUGCACACAUUGGCCUUGUAUAUAACUAUAUAUAUAUAGGAAAAGUCGGUUUUAUCUUGCUUUCCUGAAUUGCUUUUCUACAAUUUCAGGGCACUUCCUUUAACAAGUUCUGAGCUUGAAGCAAUUAAGGAAUCUCCCAGAUAUAUACACUCAAAUGCUAGGCCAUUGGAUAAUUCCUUAAAUUAUCUUCAGCAUCAGGGAUGAUGCACCAAGUUUUGUUCUCAUUAUAACAUAGAUUCAUCACGAUUCCAAAAAGUUGAUUAUUCUUUUUGCUUCAUGAACUCUUCAACUAUACUUGUAAUAUGUUAAUCUCUAAUUGAAAUACCAUGGUAUCCACUCCAUCGGCCCGCGUCGCAGGAUCUUUUAUCAAGUAGAAGAGCAUCAGACCAAUGAAGGUGUGGUUUAAGUUCAGAAAUUAGCACAUGGAAAUGUUCCUGAGUCGGUGAGUGCUAAGCCAACUAACCUGCACCUGAGGUUCUGAUUGUUUCUAUAUUUUUCAAUCCUUUUGUGCAUUGGCAUUUCGCGACAUUAACUUUUCCUUCUUGAGCACUAUAAAAGAUGAUUAUAUCCUAUUCACCAGCGGAAACUGUUGUUCCUUUGCACCUUCUGCUAGUAUGUGCAUUCAAUCAGAAUGACUGUUGCAUAUCGAAGUGUUCACUGGUUGGCGAGUUAGCAGAACAGCAAAUUUAGAAUAAUUGUCACAUUCUUCAGGAAUAACUAACGGAAUCCGUUGCAAGAAAGUACGUCUGGAUCUUAUUGUAACUUGUAAGUGACAGUAUGUAUUUUUGCAAUUUCUGCAUAUUAUGAUGUUAGAUCUUUAUCUUUGUUUUAUAUUUAUUAUGUUAGAUCUUGCAUGCCCACAUCAGAAUGAUCAAUUUAGGGAAACAGAGGGGGAAUGGGAAAGGAAAACACUUUGUUUCUUUUGGUCAUGUUCCUAUUUAUCUAUGGGGAUUGCGGAUGUCACUUUAAACAAUGAAAUUUCUUGGAUUGAUCUCAUGGUAGAGAAAGUAUUGCUGAACAUCCUGAAUGUAUAUCUCGUGUUUUUGUUUUUGGUGGCAUUUCUAUUUCUCAUGCUAGUAAUUGUUAAAUGUUUUUGGGUAUAUCAGCCCG